UACGUAGGGAGCAAGCGUUGUCCGGAAUCAUUGGGCGUAAAGCGCGCGUAGGUGGCUUCGUAAGUCCGUUGUGAAAGUCAAAGGCUCAACCUUUGAAAGCCGAUGGAUACUGCGGAGCUAGAGUACGGAAGAGGCGAGUGGAAUUCCUGGUGUAGCGGUGGAAUGCGCAGAUAUCGGGAGGAACACCUAUGGCGAAGGCAGCUCGCUGGGACGUUACUGACGCUGAGACGCGAAAGCGUGGGGAGCAAACAGG
rnacentral:rRNA from 1 species